rnacentral:lncRNA from 1 species
GUCUCUGAAGGCCCAGUUGGGGCCUGUGGUCACAUCCCCCGUCUUUGCCCAUUACCUCUGGCCCUGGCUGGGCCUACAGCCACCACAGAAGGCAGAUCCAGCCAAGGCUGCUGUCACCCUGCCCUCCUCUGACCUUGAUGCCGUUAGGGCCAGAAUCUCAACCCUGGAAGAUCUUGUCCUCCCCUAUCUACCCCAUCCCAAUCCUGUCCAUCAAGGCCUCCUUAUAGGAAGUCCUCCCACAGCACCCCAGGCAGUGCCAAGCCCUGUUCAGAGCCUCGGCUGCUGCCCAGGCUGCUCACGCACUCUUGGUUCUCCAGUUAGACUGGAAGCUUCCUGAGGGUUGGGAGUUUUCUGCCUCUACAACAUUCCUUACCCAUCUCCCAGCAAGCCAGGGACAUUUUCUUUUAAACUUGACCCAAAGCCAUCAAGAGAUUCAUAAAGAGGGAGUCUAUAGUGUGGUGAAGUUUGGGGUCCUUAGUCAGGUGACCCCUCAGACUUCCCCAGCAUCAUAUCUGAGGGCCCUGGUUAUCCCCACAAUGGCCCUAGGGCCCUACAGAUUAGGGCCAAAUCUAUCAGUGUGAGACUGACUGGGAGUGCCUCACAGCCGGGAGGUCAAGUGCCAUUAACCUGUGCCCAGAACCCCCACCAAAGCCAGGCUGGGUGCCACUUCC